UACAGAGGGGGCAAGCGUUGUUCGGAAUUACUGGGCGUAAAGGGCGCGUAGGUGGCCUUCUAAGUUGAACGUGAAAUCCCUGGGCUCAACCCAGGAACUGCGUCCAAGACUGGGAGGCUUGAAUCCGGGAGAGGGAUGCGGAAUUUCAGGUGUAGCGGUGAAAUGCGUAGAUAUCUGAAGGAACAUCAGUGGCGAAAGCGACUUCCUGGACCAAUACUGACGCUCAGGUGCGAAAGCGUGGGGAGCAAACAGG
rnacentral:rRNA from 1 species